UUUCCUCUCUGCUCCAGAGUGUGGGUUUCUCUUCUCGAUGCAAGCAGACUCAUCUGGCUCCUCAUCUCACAAAAUCGUCACCCCAAGGAACGUGGGAGUUUUCUCCGGGAUGAACCACAGGGAAGCCAGAUAGAGGGAUCCCAUUGUCACGGUUCCUAAGGCACAGAACUGGAUGGAGGAGGUUGAAGAGGACGUCCGGAGGAGGAGUAGACAGGAGAAAUGAAAAUGGUUUCGUGGGCCCCUGAAUGGAUCGGGCCCCCUACACACAGGGCUUCUUGUGCCUAAUGGAGAAUUCAGCCUCAAGUUGGUAUUUCAGCACCUUUGCCCUUCUUCAGGACACCAUUGUUAUCACACAAAUAUCUCAGGCACCUCACCUUCCGGCUCCCACUGCCUUUCCUGCCCACUGACCCAUCAGCACACUAUAGCCAGCUAUGGAGCGAGGAAAGAUGUGAUAAACCAAUGGACUGUCUCAUGUGUUCUAAUGCAUGCUCUGCGUACAUUACUGGGGCACAAUGUUCUCUCAGUGGCUUUAUCAGAUUACAAUAAUCGGGGGGCAUAAUUGUAAUCCAACAAAUAAGGAACAACAUACGUUGAAUUUGUAUUAUAAACUGGGGAGUCUUUUGAGAGCUUCACAUGUAUGUGGUAAUGUAGUAUCUUCCCAUUUUUUAGGUCCAGAAAUAGAUUCAGAGAGGAAAAGGGACUUGCCCGUGACCACGCAGUCUGGGCGAUGUCAGAAACCAGAGCUGGCUGACUCAAGGGAGCUCGUUCUUUCCGCUUCUCACCAGACCACAGUCCUAUCAUCAUCACUGGGAUUUCUCCAGAUGAGAUGGCCCUUCUGGAGGGUUUAUACUUCUCAGGGUGACAAAACAUGAUGUUUCUUCACAGGAACUGAAAGGAGAUGACCACUCUGCCCACACAAACAAAGUUUGCAGGAAAUCUAACCCUGGGACAGUAAUUUUAAGGAACAAGAAGACAUGAGUCAUGAUCCAAAACAGCAAGAAUGAGGCCUGGGAUUCUUCUUGCACCAGAACAAAUGUGGGGGCUUAGUUCCAACCAUAGAAUGUGGGAGGAAGACAUGCUGCUGUAGGUUGAACUGUCUGGAGAAAAAUGAAUAUUGCAGACACGUGAGAAUGACUAUUUCCUAAUGGGUGCCUAAAAGACAGGGAUGUAUGUGUUUAAUAAAUUCUUGUCAUAUUCUACACUUAGAAAAGUCAUACUUAAUCAGUAUGUUACGCCAAUACUGGCGCCAUCUUUAGAAAAUUUAAAUUUGACCUUUUCUUAUGUUCUGCAUUAUUAUAUUACAAACUAAUCCCCUGAAGUCUUCGAAGUUAAGGUUAUACUAUCUCAAAACAUUUUUGCUAUCUAUAAUUAUACUAAGAAAACAGAGUCAUUCUACCAACUUUGGAACUGAGAUGCUAAGUUUGAUAAAUUCUCCCUCCCCCAUUAUUAUUUGUGAUCAUUAUAACAGCUAGUGAGAGCUUAUUGUUUGCCAGAAACUGAACUAAGAACCUUAUAUUAUGCUAUUUUAAUUCAUAUAACAACCCUAAGGAGAAAGUACUGCUAGUAUCCUCAUUUUACAGAGAAGAGAAUUGGAGAUUAGAGAGGUUAAAAUCUUGCACAAUAUCACUCAACUACUAUGUGGGAGUAUGGAGGUUCGAAUUCAUGAUUAAUCAGUGUAUUUUAGUUUAGUUUAUUCACCCAGCCAGGGCUCUUUCUAUGUGGACCCAAACCUUUGAGUUCCAAAGUGGUUGAGAUCAGGCUGAACAAAAAUUACCCAAUGUCACUGAGCUCUGAGCAUGAAGAAUUAAGGUCCUUUUAUAAGUAAUAUCUUAAUAACCUACUCCAAGAAUUGGCUUCUCUAUGGGACACACAGAGACCUCAUUUUUUAUUACUGUGAUUUACAGACAAGUCGUCUUUCUGUCAGACUGUGAAAGCCAUCAGGAGUCAAAACAACAGAUUUUCAAAGCACGUCUUUUCAAGAACAGAGUCAAGACACACUCUCAGAGUAUGAACUUAGAAAUCACCUGCAUCGCUCUGUGACUUUGUGACUCUGACUUGAUGAUCAGUGGUGACUCUAGAUUUGUUAGGAACAAGAAACUGACUCUAUCAAACACCAUAACCCCUCAUUGCAUUUUGAUCCAUAUGACAUACAUAUAUUAAAAGCUUCUUCCAGCUCAAAUGUUGAAAAUUGAAAUGAAAUCUUGGACAAGUGGGGAGACAAGGUGCAUAAAAAUGAACCUCGAUUCAAUCUGAUCCAAAGGCAGAGAUGCUACACUUCACACUUGGCAAUAGACCCUUCCUGGGCUUGCCUCCCAUCCCAGUAGCCCCAGGUUCUUCUACUCAAGGACCUUUGAUAAUAUUUUGGAGCCAUCAGAGAGGUAAAUAAACAUUCUACCAUGAACUGCAGAGGACAGGUCCUAUAAAAAUCCAUUAGCAUCAGAGGUGUCUGUUUACUUUAUAAACAACAAGAGCUGUGUCAAGAGUUGCACAGGCCUUGGGGGAUGUUUACUCUUAAGAAAGCAGUAUGUCGCCACCUACAGGAAGUGACCAAACUAUGUAGUCCGCCCAUCUGGAGAAUAAAUUCAUCUGCUUCUCAACCCAGUGACUGGUGAUAAAAUUCCUCAUCCCUAAAAAUAAUUGUCAUAAUAUACCAUAGGGUGCUCAGGUUUGCUUCCUAUUCAGCAACUAGGGAAAUAAAUAGAUACUUAAGCUAAUCAUUGUGAUUUACCUUACAAGGCAGAGGUUGGAAUCCAACAAACGCUUUCUAACGUUGAAACUAACAGGCUAAGAUCCAUGCAUGCCACACCCUAGACUGAUCUUACUCAAGCAUGCCCCCCAAAAGGAAUACCAUGUGUUCCCACAGAUCCUGCUCUGGUUGUUCUCAAUCAGAGACAGGUGGGGUAGCUCUGACCUGGGGCUGCCUGGGGAUCUAGGAUCUUAAGUAAAUGAAUUAUUGGUCUAACACCCUAGAAUAUGUCCCCUUCAUAACCUUGUUAAAAGCACCAUGGUCCUAUUGUUACUGUAGGUAGUUAACUAGUUAUUAAUAAGGAAGGGGAGCAAAGGACAUUGGACAUUGAGCUUAAUAAACUGGGGAACAUGAGCCUGUUUGCUUCACCAGGAAGCUACGGCUUCACACCCCAGAGGAGCAUAGCGUUGCUUUGCCAUGGAAGAUUAACACUCCCCUCUCCCCGUCUCUGGUAUCAGAUUAUUGGAGGAUGCAGGGAGAGGUGUUUGACCAUAGAGGCCUAUCAAUCAAGCUAGGGGCGGACCCAUCAAAAAGUCCACGAAAGCUUGGGAAACUGAUUGGUUAUUUUGCAAAAGCACCUGGUCCAUCCCAAACCAAGCUAAUAUAAUCCCAGGGGAACAAAGAAGUGUUCUCUCUCUCUCCCCCCCCCCCCAUUAGCACACUCACCCUGUUCAUUUGCAUGCUCUCUCACCCAGGAGCAAGCAAGCGUGUGGCUCUAGCAGCUACCGGGGCCCCGUGGCAGACUAUGUGGACUCCAAAGGACUGAGCUUUAAUGUGAAGCAGAAACUCUGGACACAGACUUUUGUUUUGGCCUUGCUGAGAGCACAGUUGGGCUUUCUCUAUGGCAGGAUGGAUGGAGAGGAGACAUGGGGG